AACCUUCCUCCCCCAACUCUUUCAAUAUUAUUGAAUGGUCUGAGACAUCCAACCUGCACUAUGCUUGAACAUAACAAGGUCCAGCUGCCAUAGACUAUCACAAUUCAGAGGUUGGUGUAUCUCAAAAUGUGGAGUUUGGGCCUUCAACUAAGUGAGAGCCGGUGCAAAUUAAACUGCAGAUGUGUAUUGCCUGGAAAAACGAAAUAACUCCGAGUUUGGUCUGACGCAACAGCUCUGCAAAUCUGAGCAGCUCACUUAAUUAUAUAUUUUCAGCUCAAGGGGAUAACUGGUGGUGGGAAGUUCAGACCCCCAAAUGAAUGUGCUGGAGCACAGAAAGUCUCCUGCAGACUUCUCAGCAGGUUCUUGGCCGGCGGCCUUUAAUCCACGCCGGGGUGCAGCGCACCCAAGUAUCCAGAUCUGAUUGGGGUUCUGGUGAUUUCAGAUUUCCACGUUCUGUUCAGCCAGAGAGAAAAUACUGCACAUACUGUGCCGUUUUCGGCUCGGUCGGACUGGGGGAAAUCCUCUACAGCGAAUGUUUUACAUUAGAGGCACUGGAAGAAUCCACAUUUGAUCAAUAGAGCGGGGCAGCCAGCCAAACAAUGUCAUUAACCACUUAUUAAUUCUGGCAGCCGUCGCAGAGCCACAUUGUGAUCGGAGUGGUUUCUAGAGGAGUGUUUACCAAAACAAGACGCACAGCUCUGCUUCAGCGGUUUCACAAAGCUAUGCAGUGACGUAGGAGAGCUGGAUAUAAUACUGAAUUUAUGUAGAAAUGUAAGGUCAUGGCAGCUUUGUAAGUUUACUUUCUCACCAGAAUGUGUUGUGCUGUGGCCUGAGUCCCAAAGAAAAUUAAAGCCUGGUCUUGCACUUAUUCUGUUUUUUUUUAUUUUUUAUACGAGCGCUUGUGAAAAGCUGUUAAACUGAAAGAGGCCUGUUUUAUUCCAGCUGCGGUGAUAGGACUCUUUUAAACUCACGUAAACUUAAAGGCACCGUGUGGACCUAACAUCACCACCGGAUCAAAUGUCACCCAUUCGAUCCCGUUCUUCCUCUUCUUCAGAUAUCGGAUUCUUCUCGCUCCAAAUAUGAGACAUGUGUCAAAAUGUUCCUUUCCUAAUUGAGUCCUAAUCGCAUUUGCUGAGCACACAGACGUCUGGGGGGUCUGCGGAGCUUUUCUCCUGGGAGGCUCUGGUGUUUGUACUGUCCUCUUUCAGAAAGAAUCCGUCUCACAAACUGUCUAAACGUGAGCCUCAAGUCUGCAGCGGGACCACAUUUCUCAUCCACAGUUUUCAUUUGGCCGACAACAGCAAAAUUAUGAAUCAAUGUGUUUCUCCUAAGGUGAAAUACUUUGAAGUUGAAAUGAUUAUCUAGGAAUAACUCUAAAGAUAUUAAAGAUGCUUCCAAACCUGUUUUUCAACAGACCUCCUUCACGUCUGGAGGAGCAGACUUAAGGAUGACAGAGCCUACUCCUCCUCCUCUGGUGGACGACAGCCAAAAGAGCUUCACUCCCUGCUCUCUGUCCACCACACCACCUUCAGGAUGUCCAUUCAAACAUGGGAGAAAAUGUGCUUCAGUUGGAAAUCUAAGAAUGCAACUUUUAUUUGUAUAAAUUAUACCACAGGAAGAAUACUCAAUUCUGAUUGGCUGCAGGGUGUGCGUUAAAAAUACAGGCCGUAAUUCAGUUUCAUUUUUGUUCUUUUGAAUUGUCUUUCUGUCUCUGUUUUCUUUUGUUUUUCUUCUGGAUUCUUUGAUUGCAGAUUACUCCCUAAUUGUCCAGAGCAGCUGAUUGGACGAGGACCUCUUUGGCCAACCUUUAAAAACUGAGCUACUCCAAGCCGGCAGCAAGAGAGCUUCAUUUAUUCUUUAUCCAUACAGGCUUUGGUCCAUUUGGUGUAUUUUUGGUUAUUUUUGUGUAAAUAAUUUUCUUUUUUCUGUACAUAAAUCCCAGCUUACUUUUACUCGUGGUCUUUGAGAGUUUUAGAUAGUUGUUGGGGUAUUUGAUUCGUUUUUCUUACUUUCAUGUGUAAAUCUUUUUUUUUCAUAGACGAGGACAUAAUGCAAAUUGGGGGCUUGUCCGGGAUUGGAAAACAGGAUUUUUCACAGGGGUGUAACAGCACAGUGAUAAUGGACACCUAAAAAAGACUGAAAGUUCAUCAACCUUCUUCCACAGUUUAUCACAACAACAAGACAGUAGAAAAAGACAUGAGUAGUAUUUUUGGUUUAAAAACUGUGAUGGAGCCGAAGAGAAACAGAAUGUAAAAAGGCAGAUGAGACAUUUGACUCUUUGCUUUUUUUGAUGGUCAUUUGCGUUGAGUGUGAGCGCGAGUGAGUGCACACUCAAUAACUGAAUCGAAUCGUGGCUUGACUGAAUCGUUACAUCCCUGAUAAAAACUAAUAUUAUUAAAUAUAACAAAUUACAGACUUUUGUUAAUUGAUCCAACAUCUCACUUUUUACAGUCUGAGCCGGCUAAUGCCCUUAGAGGUGUGCAUUAUCAGAAAUGAAUGGAUGCCUUGUCAGUUAUUAUUCCUUACAUAUAUGUUUAAGAAUGUGUCGUGUCGUUCAUUUUUGAGACGUUCUCAUGAAUUUCCAAAUCAAGAUAUUGAACGUCAAUCACUUAUUUGAUAUCAAGGCCAAAACAAAUUUUCUCAGAGUGAAACAUGACCUUCAAAACUAAAAAAAAAAA